AAGACUAUAGACCUGCGGAGUACCUGCGGAGGGAUCAUUACAGAGCUCUCGCCACCUUGGCGGACCUCCCUCCCACUGUCAUUCCUACGACCGUUGCUUUGGUGGGCCGCCGUGCCCGCCAGAGGCCCCCGAGACCCGGUGAUGUCAGUGUCGUCCGAGGAUCUAGCAACAGUCAAAACUUUCAACAAUGGAUCUCU
rnacentral:misc_RNA from 1 species